CGUCGAAGGUGGGGCUGAUGACUGGGGUGAAGUCGUAACAAGGUAUCCGUACCGGAAGGUGCGGAUGGAUCACCUCCUAACAGGGAGACAAAACAAUGAUUUUGAUGUCUGAGUAUUUUAUUCUUAGGCCGAAAUCCUGUCACCUUAGGUCGAUCGGUACCUCAACAUUUUUCCAAAGAUUGGUGAGCAAUCAUCAAAAUAUUGGAAAGGAUGUUCAGUUCCUAAACUUUGUCUAGGUCACACCCCGCAAGGGAAGAGUCCCCUGGGCCAUUAGCUCAGGUGGUUAGAGCGCACCCCUGAUAAGGGUGAGGUCCCUGGUUCAAGUCCAGGAUGGCCCAUUCGGUGUUGGGGGUUUAGCUCAGUUGGUAGAGCGCCUGCUUUGCAAGCAGGAUGUCAGGAGUUCGAGUCUCCUAACCUCCACUGACAGAACUCAAUCUCCAUUGUCCGUUAACUCGGAGGAUGAACUCGAUGGCGUGUGAUUUAGAUGUGUCCACUAGAUAGGACCCUAGCUUCCUGUCAUUCCGAACAAGUGAUUAUUGCUUGAUUGGCUGAUAUGAUGCUGGGCUCAGAUUAAUCGAAAGAUUAAUUUGAUCUCUAGUAGAACCUUGACAACUGCAUAAGUAAGUCUGGAAAAACGAAGCAUCUUACAGAUGCAUUGUUUUAAGUCUGAAUUCUCGAAAGAGAGUUUAGAUCUAGAAUGAUGAAAAUUCUUUUAAGCAAGAGCCGAGACUCUUAGAUGUUCUUUUUAUCGUGUCGAGCGAUAAAGAGUUUGAUUUUGUUUUUAUGAGUAGCGAAAGCUGCUGAUGAAACCAAAAGAAUCUGCUUUCAACCGCAGUAAGCGUUUAAGAGGUUAAUUGGUCAAGCUACAAAGGGCUCACG
rnacentral:misc_RNA from 1 species